CAGUAGCCGCGGGAAUACGUAGGGUGCAAGCGUUAAUCGGAAUUACUGGGCGUAAAGCGUGCGCAGGCGGUGAGUUAAGUCUGCUGUGAAAUCCCCGGGCUCAACCUGGGAAUGGCAGUGGAUACUGGCUCGCUAGAGUGUGUCAGAGGAUGGUGGAAUUCCCGGUGUAGCGGUGAAAUGCGUAGAGAUCGGGAGGAACAUCAGUGGCGAAGGCGGCCAUCUGGGACAACACUGACGCUGAGGCACGAAAGCGUGAGGAGCAAACAGGAUUAGAUACCCCCGUAGUCCCUGUCUCUUAUAC
rnacentral:rRNA from 1 species